GUGGGCAUGUGUGUGAGUAUAUAUAUAUAUAUGUGUGUGUGUGUGUGUCUGUGUGUGUAUAGACACACACACACACACACACACACACACACACACACACACAGAGCAUAUUUGAAUAAAUACAUUUUCAAAACAAAU